UUCACAGCCAUAUUAACCAGCAACCCAAGAGCGCUCCCUCACUGAAGCUAAGCAGGGCUGAGGCUGGUCAGUGUCUGGAUGGGAGACCACACGGGAACACUAGGCUGCUGUUGGAA
rnacentral:rRNA from 1 species